rnacentral:sRNA from 1 species
GACCCGUACCCAUUGGAGUUUUCAAAUUUAAAAUACAAGUCUUCAUUGGGAUUCGAACACAGGACCCAAGGUUCGAAAGUCAAGCACUUAACCGCUUUUGGUUUACAAGAACUCGUCAAAGAUGUUCUGCAAGAUCUUCCGCAAGAAAAAAACUAAAACUGAAAAA